rnacentral:rRNA from 1 species
UACGAAGGUCCCGAGCGUUAUUCGGAAUCACUGGGCGUAAAGAGUACGUAGGCGGUCUGGUAAGUCAGGUGUGAAAUCCCGGGGCUCAACCCCGGAACUGCACCCGAUACUGCCAGACUGGAGUAAUGGAGAGGCAGGUGGAAUUCUCGGUGUAGCAGUGAAAUGCGUGGAUAUCGAGAGGAAGACCAAUGGCGAAGGCAGCCUGCUGGACAUUUACUGACGCUGAGGUACGAAGGCCAGGGGAGCGAAAGGG